rnacentral:lncRNA from 1 species
GAAAACCUCACUUCUUCUAUGUUUCUCUAUUUGGCCACUUGAAGGGGAAAAAAAACGGUUCCAACUGGCAUUAAUGCUCCUUAAUUAAGCUCAAAGCUAGGAACUGCCCCCACAGGGCAGGUUUGUGGCUGUGCGUUUGGGUCACAGCAUGUAGCAAGGUAAUCUGUUAACUGAAGUGGGCACCUAGAACAUCUACCCAUUGUGCACCACCUGACUGCCGCUUCCUCCUUGAAGCCCUCCUGCCCAGGGUGCAGAGCCUGUUCUCCUCCUACCUCUCCAGGUAGUCUCUCGGUCUCUCCCUGGUGCCUAGUACUCUUCAUCCCUCUCAGAAUUUGUGUUCCCCAAAGCUCUUCUCCCUGCCUCUGGACGUCUCCACAGAGGUGCACCUCCAUGAAGCUGUGCACCCUACGUCCUUUGGCACUGAACAUCCUCCAACAGUCCCCAUCCGCCUCCCUUAAAGCCAAUGUGUUGUAGGGGAAGCUGGCUCCACCGCCAUGUCCAGGUGUGGUCCCUGAGUGGAUCAGGGAAAAAUCCUUCUUCACUAAGCCUUAGUCAAUGAGCACAUGGCAUUUCUUUAGCCACAGGAAAUGACUCAGCAGUGGGCAUGUGUCCAGGUCAGUGAGAGGGGAAGGCAGACGUGCUGGAGACUUCUGGGAAAGGAGGCUCUCGACUUCUAAGAAUCCUGAGAGGGUGUCUCUCUUAAUUGAUGUGGCGUGAAGGUGGGACAUCUGGUGCUGCUGCAGCCAUCCUGCCACCAAGAGGAAGGCCAGAACCAGGCCCACAAAGCAGAACAGCAGAAAUAUUUGACGCCUUGCAGGGCGCAGCUCAAUGACCAAAUCAAAUUGCUGAAACCUGUCUUGGAUGUCUUGAACUUUCUAGUUAUGCAACUUACUGGGCCCCUUUAUUGUGUGAGUUGGCUUGAGCUGGGUAUUCUGUAAUUUGCAAUCAAUAGUAACUGUGUCAUGCUAAUGAUCUCAUACAUCUGUAGGGGUUCAAAUCCUGUCUGGGGUGGAGUUAGCUUCCCCUGAAGCACAUUGGCUUUAAGAGAAGAGGGAGGGUACCCAGUGAGGGACUGUUGGGGCUGAGGCCACCAAACCUCACAGUGAUCUAGUAAACAUCUCCAUUUGGGUAUUGGGGAUCCUUCAAAACCCCUCAAAGUAAAAUAUUAAACCCUUUAAGGCCCUGACCAAUCCUCACCCACCCUCUGCCUGGCUGGCCCUAGUUCUGAUAACUGCACUGUCAUCUUCCGACCCAAUCACUAAGCUACGUGGAACAUUUUGGAAUGGAUUCUCUCUCUCACUCUCUAUAGCCACCAUAGAUCUCUGGCCUCAAGUCCCUCCUCUCCAUUUCCAGUGCCACUGCUUCCUCAAAUGGACCACUCUGGGAGCACCAGCUUGCCACUUGGCCUUUCAGACUAAAACCAGGAUCUGACCCCAUCCUUUACACUUGUUCCUCCUGAGGCUCCCCACUGCCUUUCUGCCUACUAGGAAACAUAGAUCUAAAUGUUCACACAGAGCCUACAUUCCUUUUUCUUUCUUUUUGAGACAGGGUCUUGCUGUGUUACCCAGGCUGGAGUGCAAUGGCAUGAUCACAGCUCACAGCAGUCUCGACCUCCUGGACAUAAGCAAUCCUCCCACCUCAUCCCCCACAAGUAGACUACAGGUGUGUGCCACCAUGCCUGGCUAAUUUUUUUUUUACUUUUUUUUGUAGAGAAGGGGUCUCACUAUGUUACCCAGGUUGGUCCCAAACUCCUGGGCUCAACUGAUCCUCCCAAAGUGCUGAGAUUACAGGUGUGAGCCACCAUGCCUGGUCAGAGCCUAGAUUUCCAACUACACUAUACAAAUACAGCCAGGCACACAACAAAUGCCCUAUAAGGCAGUAAUCAUAGGUCUCCUCCUCAUACAUCAAGGCCCACAUCAAAUGUCACCUCCUCUGAGAAGCCCUCCUGAACUCACCGAGGCAGAAACUAUUUCUCUCUCCUGCUCUGACCAUCUUUACCAUUUGCUUCACAGUUCUCCUGUGGUACUAGUGAUCAUUUGGGGUCAUCAUCUGCUUUUUGGCCAGGCCUUCACUAAACUUUGAGCAACUCUUUGAGCCUUAUACCUUCCUUCAAGUUUCUGACACUUAAUAAAUUUAUUAUGUUCACCGGUAACACUGUCUCUUUAAAGUUGAUUAAAUCAGAGAAUUCCAUAUACCAAGGCACCAAGCAAGAAAAAUCUUAGGACAUUAGGGCCUAGAGACCCAGAUUUUCUUUUUUAAAUUUACAGAACAUUAACCUACUUUUCCUUUAGAGUAAAGUGAGAUCAAAAUAUGCUUACUCGUGCCAUAAGGUCAAUGAAUAAAAAUCUGUAAGAUGUUGUUACAAUAUGAAAGAAAAAUUAUGAUGAAUGUCAUGCAAAAGGAAUCUGAAAAACUAACAGAAAACAAAGAAGCAUUUGUUUUUGUGUUGUGUGUAUGUGUUUUUUUGUUUUUUUGUUUUUUUUCUGGAGACAGGGUCUCACUCUGUCACCCAGGCUGGAGUUCAGUGGCACAAUCAUAGCUCACUGCAUCAUAGCUCACUGCAGCCUUGACCUCUCAGGUUAAGGCACUGUACCCAGCCCAGCAUUUGUUUAAAAAAGAAAGAAAGAAUGAGCAUUCUCUCCUAGCAUAAAGGGUCUCCCUAUCCCUGGCACAUGUUUAAACCCUAAUUUAUAAACAAUAUCUGGCAACAGCAAAGGGAAUUCAGAGGCUCACUGGCAGUAAUGAAACUGAUCAGCCCUCCCUUGGGACACACAUUUACAGGAACAUUCUGCUGGAAAGUGCUGGUGCUGGGACCCCCCAGCAGGCCUCCUG